GCCCCCUCGCCUUAGGGAGGGCUACAAGAACAUCUCUGAGUCAAUAGCAGUGUGUAUAUUCCCAAAAUACAGACAUAUUCUGCAAGUCGUGUGUGAAGUCCAAGAAUUGCUUAAGAGAAUUGAUUGCUUCCAA